UCUGAUGGAGCACGCCGCGUGAGUGAAGAAGGGUUUCGGCUCGUAAAACUCUGUUGUUAAAGAAGAACAUAUCUGAGAGUAACUGUUCAGGUAUUGACGGUAUUUAACCAGAAAGCCACGGCUAACUACGUGCCAGCAGCCGCGGUAAUACGUAGGUGGCAAGCGUUGUCCGGAUUUAUUGGGCGUAAAGCGAGCGCAGGCGGUUUUUUAAGUCUGAUGUGAAAGCCUUCGGCUCAACCGAAGAAGUGCAUCGGAAACUGGGAAACUUGAGUGCAGAAGAGGACAGUGGAACUCCAUGUGUAGCGGUGAAAUGCGUAGAUAUAUGGAAGAACACCAGUGGCGAAGGCGGCUGUCUGGUCUGUAACUGACGCUGAGGCUCGAAAGUAUGGGUAGCAAACAGGAUUAGAUACCCUGGUAGUCCAUACCGUAAACGAUGAAUGCUAAGUGUUGGAGGGUUUCCGCCCUUCAGUGCUGCAGCUAACGCAUUAAGCAUUCCGCCUGGGGAGUACGGCCGCAAGGCUGAAACUCAAAGGAAUUGACGGGGGCCCGCACAAGCGGUGGAGCAUGUGGUUUAAUUCGAAGCUACGCGAAGAACCUUACCAGGUCUUGACAUACUAUGCAAAUCUAAGAGAUUAGACGUUCCCUUCGGGGACAUGGAUACAGGUGGUGCAUGGUUGUCGUCAGCUCGUGUCGUGAGAUGUUGGGUUAAGUCCCGCAACGAGCGCAACCCUUAUUAUCAGUUGCCAGCAUUAAGUUGGGCACUCUGGUGAGACUGCCGGUGACAAACCGGAGGAAGGUGGGGAUGACGUCAAAUCAUCAUGCCCCUUAUGACCUGGGCUACACACGUGCUACAAUGGAUGGUACAACGAGUUGCGAACUCGCGAGAGUAAGCUAAUCUCUUAAAGCCAUUCUCAGUUCGGAUUGUAGGCUGCAACUCGCCUACAUG
rnacentral:rRNA from 1 species